rnacentral:sRNA from 1 species
UGUUGCUCAUUCGCCUGUUUAUGAUGCCCUGCUCCGGCGGUCAAGCGCUCAUAAAAAUUGAAUGACGCACAAAACGGUGCCUGUCGUCCUCCAGACCGAUAAGCGAGCCUCCGGGCCGUUAUCAAGCAUUGGACGCAACGUUGAGUUAGGCACCACCUA